CACCCUCUAAAAUUACGCAAAGAUUUAUUACAACAGUGUUCCUGGUGCCUGGUAUCUUUGCAGAGGAUCCUGUAAGUGGAUAAACAGGAAGGAGAUUUAAUUAGGUGCGUGGAGCGGAGGAGUGGUGAUUAGCAAACCGGUCCUUUAAUGCCCUAUAUUACAUGCAGUUAAUUACACAGAUUGCAGGGGAAUUAAUGUCGGGCUCUGCUAACGAUUUUUUUGGGAAGAAUAAUUUUAUUUACACAACAUGGGCUGCAAGAAUUAUUGAAAUGAGAAACAUGGAAAUGGCAAAGGGAAGGAGGACUCUGCUGUCCCUGGACAGUGGGGGCUGUGAGGACCCAGGGGUGCCCUCAGCCCUGGCACGCCUGGCAGAAACCCAUUGGCCCCGCAUUCUUGCAUGAAUGACCUGGUGAGGUCAGCUGGGUUGGGAGGACCCUUGUGUAACACUGCCUGCUGCUCGCCGCUUCUCCAGGAGCCACAGGGCUCACUUUCCACCAGCCUCCCCACCCCCUACUGGGGUGCAAAGUGUCUGAAGGGCCACUAAUCUGCAGGAUGCUGGGGAGACCAAGAAGAGACAGGUAUGGCCCUGUAGUCUGGGUGUUUAUGGUGCGCAGGCAGAGAGAGGUACCGAGGGAUGCGCCACAAGCUUCUAAGUGACCUGGAGCAGGAGAAACAGAUUGGAGUCUGUGGAAGCCUGCAGCAGAGCUCAUCGCAAGGCUGCCUCCAGGUUGCAGGAUUCCAGGCACUGGCAGAGGACGCUGACUCCACUUCACCUUCCCCGCCCUCGUGGCUGGCAGAGCCUGCCUCCAUCUCCAGUGCCCAUUGCCCGCCAGCCCCACCCUUCCGCCCCUUCCCUGUCUGCCCCGUGCCUCCCUCUCUCCUUCCCUGCACCUUCCCGGCAAGACCCCAGUCCCCCAGUCCUCCACCCAGGCCCUGUUGCUCCCACAUGUCUGGGUGUGUCCCUGGGUGCUGCUGGGCACUGAUGGGCCCUGGGGCCUAUGCAGGGGCACCAGGUGACACCUGAGGAGGAAAGAACCAAGGACCCCAGGGCACCAAGCUCAGCCCCGCCCCACACCACCCCCACCUCUCCUCCCUGAGGAGUUGCUGAAGGCCUCUGGGCAGGGUGGCUGUGGGGCUCCACCGGGGUCAACCACAGCAGCCUCCACAGCUCCUUGGGGCCUCACCCAUGGGACCCAGGAUGCAGACUCGCCUGCAGCUGGGAGGAAGGCGGGGCUUCUGUGGGCGCAGGCGUGGCAUCGGAGGGCGUGGCUGUGCCCUUCUGGGACUCCCCUGGUGGGAGAAGCCUCUGCACAGGGCCUCGCCCCUGCCUCCCCUCCCAGCAGCCCCUCCUGGGGCAGUACCACUUUCCCCAGAUCCCCUGCCUCCCACCAACAUGGCCCCUUCGCUGUGACUCACCUGGGAUGGGACAGACUUUCCAGACACCACGUCUCUCAAGCGCCGGACGGGAGGAGCGGGUGGAACACCCACAGGCCUGCGGUGCUGCCACUGGACGCCUGCCCUUUGGAGACGUCCCCUCCUGCCGCACAGAGAGACUUGCAAUCAGCACACCUGGCGAAGAAGGGCGGCUGCUGACGCUGACGGCGGCUGCAGGAGCUGCUUCAGGCUUUGUAAAGGGCCCGGCAAUCUUGUCUGGAUGGUAAUUUGCAGUGUCUGUGGAGAAAGCAAAUGUCAGCUUCUGCUGGCCCUGGACAGGCUGAUCACAAACCCCUAAUUAGUGGUGUCUGAAAUAAUGAGAUUUCCCUGUGUUCUCAUUACAUGGAAAUUACUUCUGAAAAGCAACUCAGAGGGACAUGUAGGCACGAGACAACCCUUUCCAGAGGGGCACCGGCCAUUGGCCAAGAGUAGACCCAGGCUGGAAGGCUCGGCUGAGAAGCAGGUGGGCGUCCUUGGCACUGUAGGAAGAGCCUGGCGUUGGUGGAGCUGUGACACCUUUGCCUCAGACAGGGGCCCUCAGGAGAACAAAAGCCGAGGCAGGGCUGAGCUGGGGUAGCCCGGGAAGUCAGCUUGGGAAGCUCCUGUGGGGGUGUCCACGGGGUGCAUCCCACCUUGGAGGACACUGACCUGUGGCGGCGGCCUGGGCAGCAGGGGGAGCUGGAGGCAGGAGGGGUAGUGGUUCCCCCGAGGAAGCUGCUUAGGGAAAACGAGUUGGUCUAGCCCCUGCUCAGCCAGACUGGAUCUGUGGCGCCUCCAUGCAGGGCCGUUGCUUGCUUUCUGCUUAAAAGGAUGCUUUUUGGCAAACCUCAGGAUGCCGUUAUAAUCUCAUGGGCUCCCCUGAAGUGGAGGGCCGCUGGCCAUGGCCUCGAGCCAAGCCUGUGCCUUGCCCGGGCGUGUCUCCCACUGGUGUCUCAGGGAUGAGGCUGCCCCUGCGGCCGGCAACACAGGUUGGCCGGGCCCUGACUCUUGCUGUCUAGGACGCAGUCAGAUGGAGUUUGCUUCCAAAUAGAGCCUCAUUAACACAAUGAUUAAAUGCCUGAUGGCUCUUUUUCUUCUGCAAACUAUAUUUUAGGGCCGGGCUUUGCCAGCAGCCAUGAAUAUUUCAUGGUAGAGUGAGCUCCUGCUGCCCCAGCUGCACCAGGCAUGUCCCUGGGCAUCCUGAGGCCAAGCCAAUGGGCGCCCGGCUGACUCUGGGACCGUGGGACCCACAACCCACACGAUCUGAACCUCCAUGGCUAAGGGCCCGCCGCUGGCCUGCUGACGUCAUGGAUGCUGGUGUAACCUCGUGACCUGGAAGCCUCACUAUUUUCGGGACCUGGGACUCUGCACUCAGCUUAGAGUUGCCCUGGGCCUUCCCCACAUGGAGCUCAAAUGCGCCCCCCGCCCCACCCCCUGUAGGAAGCGUUUCCCGCCUAUCCCAGAGGCUCCUGGUGACACUGGAAGAUCUGUCCCUGCAAGCCCCAAGCCAUCUAUGAACAUUUGAACAUCUGAAGUCUACAGAUGCAUGGAUUUAUGAAUAAGUGUGUGUUUAUUAUGAAGCUGCUUGGCACAUAGUAGAUGCUCAUUAAACAUCUGAAACCUGCAUGAAUGGCUAAAUGAAUGAGUGUGUGAAUAGGAAUUAGUUACUUAAAAUACACAGGUGAGCAACUGAGCGCCACUGUGUCUUUUGUAGCUAGAAGCCAUCCGUAAACGCAAGCUAAAAUCCGCAAUGCAUGUUGACCAUGCGGGGCAGUGACCUGUGCUGCUGCCUGGCCAUCCCUGCUCCUGCUGGCAGAACUGCUUUGGCAGCCAGGUUCCAGCCCCACCCCUCAGCUAAGCAUCCAUGCUCUGCACUCUGGGAAGCCCGGGGCAUCCCCUUCCACAGCUUCCUUGCUUAAUUGGUGUUUCCUCGGUUGCUCAUCUCAGGAAGAGGCUCCUUACUGGCAUGAGGUGCCCCUGCCCACUGUAUCAUGGACAGCUUUUGUGAAAUGAUUUCCCUGAUAAUGAGAAUCCCAGGAAACCUCAUUAAGCCCCACAGUACUAAUUAGGGUUUGAAAUCAUUCUGUCUAGGGCUGGCAGGACUAGAUGUUUGCUUUCUGCCUAGACAGAGACAGUGAUUAAGUGAAUGAAUGAAUGAGUCUAUGAGCAAAUGAUCAGAGGUCUGAUGUGCUGGGUGCCUGGUAGGCUGGCCAGAAACAUUUUGAAUGAAUAAGGGAAGGAAUGUAUGCAUGAAUGCUGACUCAGGGAAGGGAGGGAAGGUUCCUGGAAACCUGUGUGGUGACUGUCAAUGCACUCCAGGUCUCCCUGCCUUCUGAUAGCCCUGGCUACAGGCUGUUCAGCUGCAAACAGUCCAGGUCCCCCUCUGUGGGUGCCAGCUCAGUGGACUGGCCUUCAGCAGGAGGUCAUCCCCUCACCACAAGGACCAUGAGGACAGCCCUUCUGCUGCCUGAAUGCCACCCUCUGCCCUCUUUCCUCUAGCUUCUUUUUUUGAAUUUAACACACUUUUAAAAAGCAAUUUUGAUGGCGGGGCGUGGUGGCUCAUGCCUGUAAUCCCAGCACUUUGGAAGGCUGAGACGGGCAAAAUACUUGAGGCCAGGAGUUCGAGACCAGCCUGGCCAACAUGGUGAAAUCUCAUCUCUACUAAAACAGAAAAAUUAGCCGGGCGUGGAGACGCAUACCUGUAAUCCCAGCUACUCUGGUGGUGGAGGCAGGACUCUGGUGGUGGAAGCAGGAGAAUCACCUGAACCUGGAAGUCAGAGGUUGCAGCAGUGAGCCAAGAUCGUGCCACUGUACUCCAGCCUGGGUGACAGAGUGAGACUCUGUCUCCAAAAAAAAAAAAAAAAAAAAAAAAAAAAAAAGCAGUUUUGGGUUUCCAGAAAAAUUAAGUGGAAUUGAAUGGAAUUCACUCCUGGUGUCGUACAUUCUGUGGGUUUGGACAAAUGUAUAAUGACUUGUCCCCACCGUUUUUGCAUCAUACAGAAUUGUUUCACUGCCCUAAGAAUCCUCCGUGCCCCAUAUAUCUGUUACGGAAACACUGCCCUAAGAAUCCUCCGUGCCCCAUAUAUCUGUUACGGAAACAUCUAGAUCCUGCGGCUCUCUGCACAGAAAGCCAAUCACUGAGAUGACAAGUAUUGCUGAGGAAGAAAGCUGUAACUGGGUGUUGCAGCCGAGGAGAGGGGAGCUCUGUCUCAAAUCCAUCUCCCUGACUGACUAAAACUAGGGGUUUAUCUAGCAAGGAAGAAACGUAACCGUGUAUAGGACAACAGGAACUCAGAAAGGGAAAGAAGCAAUCAGAAUGAAUAAGGGGUCUGGUCUCAUUGUCUGGAGGUGGUUACCUGGUGAGUUUCAGUUCUUUGAUACUUUUUGAGAGGUCUGGGGGUUCUUUCCUGAAGAAGGAACUCAAAUAAAAUGAAUGUAAGUUUUAAGCUUUA
rnacentral:lncRNA from 1 species